CAAACAUUCCACAAAUUCUCUCCAUACUCACAUAGAAUAGAGGAGUUCAUACUCGCAUCGGAUAGAGGGAGAGUUGCAGAUACUUGUAGGAUCAAGUCUCCAAUCCAACAACACUUUUUCCUCACAUCAAAAAGGUUGAGCAAUGAAGUGGUGGAGGAAGUGCUACUGAGACAAUACAUUUAAUUCAAUCAGAUUAGGACUCUCGGAGGUUCAUGUCUCCAUACAUGGAACCGCGUUCUUUUCCUUCCACUGUGCAUCUUAAAAGACUCUAGUCUAUUUUGUUCAAAACUCUGGUAUUUUGAAAACUUUUACAAACAAUUACUCGAGUUUUCAUAAGCGAUUAUCUUUUCCUCUAUGUAUCAGCACUUGAUUAGUCAUGUCUCCAACCAAUGUUUGAUUUUAUUUUUUUUCCCCUAUUUCUUUCCCCGCUUCUUAUACCCCGUCCCUAGUCACGGUUUCCCGACUGUGCUAUUCUUAGCAAGUGCGGUCGUGACAAAGUCAGAAGCUGAGGUUGAGCAAAUUUAAAAAUAAGAAACCAAUGCACGAAAUUUCAAGAUUUAAAUUGCCAAGUAGAGAAUGUGGCUGCUUGUAUGGCUUAGAUGCUCGGCCUAUAGGCUAUAGAAGAUAAAACAAAAGUGACAAGGCAUUAGGCGUGGCCUUUACUUUGUCUAUUGCCAUUGGUGUUGAUUUGGUCUAAUUUUAUAGAAUUGUCAUUUCUUGUAAUA